CCUACGGGAGGCAGCAGUGGGGAAUCUUGCGCAAUGGCCGAAAGGCUGACGCAGCGACGCCGCGUGCGGGAGGAAGCUCUUCGGGGUGUAAACCGCUGUCAGGGGGGAAGAAAGGCCCGGGGAGGAAAUGCCCCGGGUUUGACGGUACCCCCAGAGGAAGCACCGGCUAACUCCGUGCCAGCAGCCGCGGUAAUACGGAGGGUGCGAGCGUUGUUCGGAAUUAUUGGGCGUAAAGCGCGCGUAGGCGGCUUCUCUAAGUCUCGCUGUGAAAGCCCGGGGCUCAACCCCGCCGGACUGCAGGGGAUACUGGAGAGCUGGAGACAGGUAGAGGCUAACGGAAUUCCGGGUGUAGCGGUGGAAUGCGUAGAGAUCCGGAAGAACACCAGAGGCGAAGGCGGUUAGCUGGACCUGGUCUGACGCUGAGGCGCGAAAGCGUGGGG
rnacentral:rRNA from 1 species